CUUUUGCUAUUUUUGUAACAGCAGUUUAUGUAUCUCUGAAGAAGCUUCUUGGAUGAGAGGCGAAACGUCUUCCAGAAAACUUCACGGAACUAUUCUGCCUUGACCAUGACCUGCAUGACUGAGAAUCUCCACGGAUAUCUUGUCUGUAAUCAUCACCAGCUUUUAUCACCAUACACGAAGGAGGAGAUGGAAACCAGACCGCCCGCCGACGCAGUGUUACCGUUCCUCCCCUUCUCUGCCAACCUGGCUGCCCCGUCUGCUUCACCCAACAGGUUUCAUACACACUUCCUGCUAGUCGUCUGCGUAUGGAGAUGAGCCACACAUGCACCAGAGCAGCUGACGCACGAUCAUUGAGGUCUGUUGUGCAGUAAAUCAGCUGAUCUUAAAGCUGAGGACCUGAACACAGCAUCAGAGAGCCACAAACUGAAGCCCCACUGUGACCUGGAACAGAGGAUCAUAAUGUAAACAGGAAGAGCUGUACCCACCCACUCACACACAGAUGACACACACUUCCUGAAACAAGGAGGCCCCCCACUCCCCCCCACCGGCCACCACAGAGGAGGAAGAGAGAGAGA